GAGAGGAGGUGCAUGGCCGUCGUCAGUUCGUACUGUGAAGCAUCCUGUUUAGUCAGGCAACGAGCGAGACCCACGCCAACAGUUGCUAGCAUGUUCUCCGGAAUGAUGAGGACACUGUUGGGACCGCCUCUGCUAAAGAGGAGGAAGGAAUGGGCAACGGUAGGUCAGCAUGCCCCGAAUUAUCCGGGCUACACGCGGGCUACAAUGGUCAGGACAAUGGGAAACGGCACUGAAAAGUGUAGUCAAUCUCCUAAACCUGUCCCAAGUUCGGAUUGUGGGCUGCAACUCGCCCACAUGAAGCUGGAAUCCGUAGUAAUCGCGUUUCAAAAUAGCGCGGUGAAUAAGUCCCUGCUCCUUGCACACACCGCCCGUCAAACCAUCUUAGUGAGGUUUGGAUGAGGCUGUGGUUAACUGCCACAGUCGAAUCUAGGUUUCGCAAGGAGGGUUAAGUCGUAACAAGGUAGCC
rnacentral:rRNA from 1 species